CUCCAAUAAUAUGCAUCUUGGAUGGCUUCACUAUGUCCCACAGGUCACCAAGAUUCUGCUCAUUUCUCUCCAUCUUUUGUCUUUCUGUUUUUUUUGAUUGGAUAAUUAUUAUUUAUCUGUCUAUAAACUUCUGAUAAUAGCAUUCACUGAAUUUUUUCAUCUUAGAUAUUUUAGUUUUCAGCUAUAGAAUUUCUGGGCAUUUUUUUGUUUGUUUGUUUGUUUGUUUUGCUUUUUUGCUUUUUAGGGCCACACCAAUGGCAUAUGGAAGUUCCUGGGCUAGGGGUUGAAUCAAAGGUAUAGCUGCCAGCCUAUACCACUGCAAUGCCAGAUCCUUAGCUCAUUGAGCAAGGCCAGGGAUUGAACCCACAUCCUCAUGGAUUCUGGUUGGGUUUGCUAUCACCAAGCCACAACUGGAACUCCCUAUUUUUUUUUUUUUUUUUUUUUGGCCAUACCAUGGCAUAUGGAAUUUCCUGAACUAGGAAUCAAAUCCUAGCUACAACUGGACCCAAGCCACUGCAGAGACAAUGACAGAUCCUUAACCCACUGUGCUACAGCAGGAAUUCCUGCUCUAUUUUUUUAGUUCACACUUUUCUGCUGAAAUUCUCCAUCCAUUCACUCAUCACUCACUAAGACCUCCUUUGAGCUCCUUGAACAGCUUUAGAAGAACAGUUUUAAAGUUCAGCUAAAGCUAAGCCAUCCCAUGUUCCCUUUCUGUUGACUAGUUUUGCUCUUGAAUGUGGUUCACAAUUUUCUGUUUUUGCACAUGUUGAGCACUUUUUCAAAUUUUUGUAUUAAACAUUUGUAGAGGGCACAAUGCAGAGAUUCUGAGUAUUUUGUUCUAAAGAGGGUUGGGGGACCUUUUAUUUUAUUUGGGGGUGAGUUGGCUGUGUCCAUGUCACGUGGAAAUUCUCAAGCCAGGGAUUGAACUGGCGCCACAGCAGUGACCCAAGAUGCAGCAGUGACAACACCAGAUUCUUAACCCACGGAGCCACGAGGGAACUCCUAAAGAGUGUUGGUUUUGUCGUAACAGGCAAUUAGUGGUGAGCCACCUUGACUUUUUAAGACCUGGUUUUUGGUUCCAUUGUAGUGUAUCUACUAUGGUUUUUCCUUUAGCACCAGGGUGAACUCUUUAGUCUUGGGACAGAGAAUUUAUUCCUAAGUCGCGGCCUUCCUGGGGUUCAGUGGAAAGCUCAGGCUGUCUACCAAACCAACAUGUGUCAGGACAGUCCCAUGGUUUGUGGUUAGGGACAGGGGAGAGUCAGUGCCUCCUUAGUGGCGGAUAUUAUAGGAAGACACACAGAGGACAUCCGGUCUUAAAGGAUGAGCAGAGGGGCCCAGGGGGCAGGCUAGGAGACCUCCUGGUUCUGUCUAGAUGGAGCAGUGAGCACAGAGGCAGGAAGGCCUAGGAAACAUUUUCAUCAACCUGCAAGCCCUCCAUUGUGACCCAGAUGAAAAAUCAACAUGGGGAGGUGAUAGAAAAUCAUUUCAGGAGGGCAGGAGGCUGAAGAGUUGGCUCUUUCCAGGAGAGAACUGUGUUGGCCCUGAGCCAUGGGGGUGGGAUGGUACCUGGGGAGAGAGGACCUCAGGUGAGCUGGCAGGAUGGGUGCACAUGGUGGGGGGAGCUGGGAUGACUGCCGUUAUCAUAUUUCCAGGUUUCCAACCUCGGUGCCUAGAAGAAUACUGACAUCUCUCAGUAACUGGAGGGGAGGUCUUUUUGGUACUGGGGAGGGAUAAUGAAACCCAUUUCCACGCUUUGAGUUUGAAUGUCCAGUAUCGCCAGGCAGCCCCUAGGCUGUGAGGGGCCCUGGGCCCAGUGUGUGCAGCAUCCAAUGCUCCUGUCCUUCACCAGUCAUGUGGCCAGGCCAGCCUAGCUUCCCCUCUCCCGAGGCCAGGCCCUCCAGGCUUGUGUGAUGGAGGCACAUGCAGCCUCUUGCUUGGGCAGCUCCCUCCACCGUUUACUUAAGGCUGGUUCCCAGUGACCAGGAGGCCCACACUCACCUGUCCCCCACCAGAUUCCACUGCCUUACGUUGGUGAUGCCACUAGUUUGCAGGAAAUUGUGAGUAACAGAUACUCCUUUUCUGAUCAUGUUGAAUUUGCCACUCUGUGUUUCAUGGCACAAAUGUGGAGCAACACAGCCCCCCCACCAGCUCUGCUCUGGAACUUUCAGGCCACCGUCACUGCAUCCCUAGAGCAGGCUCCCCUCGGUGUGGACGGACCCCUAAACCCUGCUCCAGCCACCGAAACACUUGGAGCCAAUGGUUCUCACUCCUGCCAGAAAAGAGAGAGGUUUUGAAAGCAUUUCUUCCAGAACAGGAAUAAAGCUAAUAGUCUGUUCAGUCCUAGGAUUUUUCCCUUGCUCCUCGGAGGUGGUUCAAAAAAAAACAUUUCCAUCUCACUGUAGCUCCCUCCUGAAUAUUCAGCUCAUCAUGUUCCAAAUGCCGGGAAGAGGUGUGUAAAUCAGCUGUGCUCCUCUCAUCCCCGAAACCGAUACAUUUAGAAUCAGCUAACCAGUUAUAUCUACCCACUUUCCUUUCAGAGGUGGUAGGGAUGCGGUCCGCUUCCCAUGCCCAUGCCACCUCGGGGGGUCCUGGGAGCCUUUUGGGGGGCUUUCUGACUCUCUGAGGGUGCCUAGGUCAGGGUUACAGGGCAGAUCAGGUGAGCAGCCCAGCCCCACUGUGCUGUGUCAGCGCUUCGUGGGCACAGGUGCUGCCGGCCUGUCCCCUUCUCUCUACGAAGAGUGCAGACUUUUCAGGAUUGUCCUUACAUGUAGUCAGGAUCACCUUCCAUCCAGCUCCGAUGACUGAAGGACAAAUACGCAGCCAUGAUUCCACACAGUUGCUUCUUCUGUCUGUUAUAACCCAAAAUACAGCGGGCCAGGUUUCCAGCUGGUGGAAUAAUGCCUGUGUCUUGAUAGAAAGAGGCUCUGGUUUCAUGUGAAGGAAACUCGGGGGAGGACAGAGCACAGAUUCUGUACCUGCAAAGAGUUUGCGAUCUGGGCAGGUGCUCUGCACACAGGCUCUUGAAUCAGAAAUUAGGAAAACUGGGAGCUCCCUUUGUGACUCAGUAGUAACAAACCCAACUAGUAUCCAUGAGGACGCAGAUUUGAUCCCUGGCCUCUCUCAGUGGGUGAAGAAUCUGGCGUUGCCAUGAGCUGUGGUGUAGAUCGAAGACACAGAUUGGAUCCCACAUUGCUAUGGCUGUGGUGUAGACCAGCUACUGUAGCUCUGAUUCAUCCCCUAAACUGGGAAUCUCCAUAUGCCGCUUUGCAGCCCUAAAAAAAAAAAGAAUUUGGGAAAACUGACCAGGCUUCUGGACGCUAACACCAGAAGCAGUUCCUGAGACUGGUGUCAACUCCGAGUGGUUAGAAGGGGUCGGGGUGGGGACCCUUGCACCCUGGAACCAGCCUGGCCUCACAGCCUGGAAACCACAUGCUCUCAGAUCUGCAGCUGGCUCUGCUGCGCGGACUUCAACUUGAACAGAAAAUUCAAACUCUUUGGCACUUUGCUUUGAAAGGUUCUCUAGUAACUACCCUGCGAAUCAGGUGAAUCUAUAGGCACCAGGCCUCAUGGUCUUCGUUUUUAUGACUCUUCCUUUAUCAUCAUUAAAGAAUAUGGUCUUUCACUUGGGAACAUUUUUCUAGAGCCCUUGAACUUGGUGAGUGGAACCCUGGAGGCCAUCCUUGCCACCUGUCUUCUUGGGAUUUUUCCAGAGAAGACUCAGAGAAGGAAUCUAGGGGUGUAUAGUUCACCCCUAAGAGAGUCCCUGGAGAGGAUGGGAACCAGGGCAGGGCAGGGAAGGUGGGUGGCUGAGGGCAGAGCUGGGGGCUGAACACCUGUCCCCCAAGUUCAUGUGUGGAAGCCCUGCCCAUGGAGUGAUGCUGUGAGGAAGUGUGGGAGGUGGUUGGCCCCUGGGGGCGGAGCCCCAAGCUCAGGAUUUGUGCCCUAGAAGAAGCAAUGACAGAUGGCCUCUCUUCUGCAUGGAAGCCAGAAGGCGUCCACAUGGGAGCCAGGCUCUCCCAGGACAAGCCCAACGGGCCAGCAUCUUGAGCUUGGUCGUCCAGCCUCCAGAACUGUAAGAAACAAGUGUGUCAGGUCAGCCCCAGUCUUUUUUGUUAUAGGAGCUGGAGCUGAGAUGGUACGUUGUUAAGAAGUUACCAGCGAGGGCGAUUGGUGCUCCAUCCAUCAGAGGCCUCAACUGGGUGCCAGGGAGCUGGGCCAUUUGUCCACCAGUUCGGCCCGUGGGGGUAGGUGCUGGGUGCUGAGUCCCUGGCCCUUCCGGUUGCUGGGGCUCAGCUCCGAGAAGGUCCUCAGUCUGAGGGACUCCUCAGGGGUUGUAAGCUGGGCAGGGCCAGGAGGCAAGGCCAUCAGGUGGGGCCUGGUGACACUGGGAGAGCAUGGGAACUGAGGGCAGGUGAUGCUGUGCAUGUAGCAGACGGACUCAGGUGUUGACCUCUGAGUGGGGAGAGCCUGGCUGGUUCUGAGCUCAGCAGGGAUGCCCCCUGACGCAUGAGGUAAGGGCAGCAUUUGCGUAGAACCUGUCCCUUGUGAUGAGGGUGCAAGAGAGGAGACCAUAGAUAGCUCUGGAAACCAUCCCCUCAAAUGAGGGCAGGUUUGCAGCAGAGCGUAGCUGGAAAGGCCAUUAGUGGACCUAUUGUGGUCAUGUUUUGAAUAAUCAGGAAAUGCAUCACGGGUCACACAACACGCUCCCCAGCAGAACAAGCUUUGUUCUCACUGGUGCGGAGGGGAAGGGGGGCUGGAGUUUGUCACAAGUGGCCCUCAGGAGACGUGGUUCCCCCUCCUGCAGCGCUGUAGAAAGGGGUACAGGCCCACCACCCCACCAGAAACUCCUUGGGGAUGGGUUUUAGAAUUUAGAAUUCUGAUUUCAGUACGGAACAGGAUGCCUUUAGCAUGUAUUAGGCAAACCCCUAGCAGAAUCAAAGAGACAGAAUUUAUAAUCACCAGCAUGAACACAAAGAGGAAAGAGCCUCACACUGAGUCAGGCCAGAUCUUGCCUAAGAACUCAGUUUUCAAACUCUCUAGAUUCCAAAAUCACAGAUGACUCUCAGAUCCCCAGGCUACGCUUCCAAACAAAACAAAACAAAAAUCAGAACAGAAACAGCCAAAUUAACAUUUAUAAUGAUUCACUAAACAUAUUAUGACAUCAAUUUCAUUUAUUAUGCAGUUCAAUAUGCAUGAAAUUUUUUAAUCCCCUUGAACACAAUUUGUAGAUUUUUCACUUUGCAAAAAUUCCCCCAGCAGAUUCCAUGGUUGUGAAUUACAAAAUUUCAAAAGUAAAAUGAGGAGUCCCUGGGUGGCGCAGCAGGUUAAGGAUCCAGCAUUGUCACUGUUGUGGCUCUGGUUACUGCUGUGGUGUGAGUUUGAUUCCUGGCCCAGAAACUUCUGCAUGAUGUGGGCAGGG
rnacentral:lncRNA from 1 species